GCGUGUGUGAAGAAGGCCUUCGGGUUGUAAAGCACUUUCGAUGGGGAAAAACAAGCCAGACCUAAUACGUCUGGCCCUGAUGGUACCCAGAGAAGAAGCACCGGCUAACUCUGUGCCAGCAGCCGCGGUAAUACAGAGGGUGCAAGCGUUAAUCGGAUUUACUGGGCGUAAAGCGUGUGUAGGUGGUUUGUUAAGUCAGGUGUGAAAUCCCUGGGCUCAACCUGGGAACUGCGCUUGAUACUGGCAAACUAGAGUGUGGUAGAGGGUAGUGGAAUUCCGCAUGUAGCGGUGAAAUGCGU
rnacentral:rRNA from 1 species